rnacentral:rRNA from 1 species
GAUGAACGCUGGCGGCGUGCCUAAUACAUGCAAGUCGAGCGAAUGGAUUAAGAGCUUGCUCUUAUGAAGUUAGCGGCGGACGGGUGAGUAACACGUGGGUAACCUGCCCAUAAGACUGGGAUAACUCCGGGAAACCGGGGCUAAUACCGGAUAACAUUUUGAACCGCAUGGUUCGAAAUUGAAAGGCGGCUUCGGCUGUCACUUAUGGAUGGACCCGCGUCGCAUUAGCUAGUUGGUGAGGUAACGGCUCACCAAGGCAACGAUGCGUAGCCGACCUGAGAGGGUGAUCGGCCACACUGGGACUGAGACACGGCCCAGACUCCUACGGGAGGCAGUAGGGAACCUUCCGCAAUGGACGAAAGUCUGACGGAGCAACGCCGCGUGAGUGAUGAAGGCUUUCGGGUCGUAAAACUCUGUUGUUAGGGAAGAACAAGUGCUAGUUGAAUAAGCUGGCACCUUGACGGUACCUAACCAGAAAGCCACGGCUAACUACGUGCCAGCCGCCGCCGUAA